rnacentral:rRNA from 1 species
CCUACGGGAGGCAGCAGUGGGGAAUAUUGCACAAUGGGGGGAACCCUGAUGCAGCGACGCCGCGUGAGUGAAGAAGUAUUUCGGUACGUAAAGCUCUAUCAGCAGGGAAGAAAAAAGGACGGUAACUGAGUAAGAAGCCCCGGCUAACUACGUUGCAGCAGCCGCGGUAAUACGGAGGGUGGAAGCGUUAUUCGGAAUUACUGGGUGUAAAGGGAGCGUAGACGGCAAUGGAAGUCCGGAGUGGAAUGGGGCAGCGCAACUUCCGAACUGCUCUGGAAACUGUUUGGCGUGAGGGCAGGAGGGGUAAGCGGAAUGCCUGGUGUAGCGGUGAAAUGCGUAGAUAUCAGGAGGAACACCGGUGGCGAAGGCGGCUUACUGGACUGUAACUGACGUUGAGGCUCGAAAGCGUGGGGAGCAAACAGGAUUAGAUACCCUUGUAGUC